rnacentral:lncRNA from 1 species
AGCAGGCUGGAGGGGUUGCAGGCUCACCAGGGUAAUGAAUAGCCAAGGUCUUGGGCAACUUCACCUCUGCCGAAGCUGUUACCAUCCAAAUUAAAUACAGCCCUCCAAGGCUUCCAUCUAAAGCUGAACAACUGCAAAUAUUUAACACCUCUUUGGUGGAAGAAAUGGCCACCAAUCUGCAGCAAUCAUCUGCAGUGGCUCAGAAGGAAGCCGAGGGCAAAAAUUUCAUUGGUGUCAACAUUCUCAGUUGGCAUCUGUAAUGACCAAGAAAUACCUGAAGCCCCUGCUGACUGUGUGUUUAAAGGUCCAGACCAAAUUCCUGCUUUUUGUGGAACUUGCUUUCUAUGAAGGGAUUCAUCGAUUUGAGGAAGUCAUUCCUGUCUAUUGUUGCAUGGAAAAUAUGCCUCACUCCUGCUUCCUUCCCAUCACUAUCUCUAUGUUCAUGCUGGUUACGUGACUGGUGUGGUAUUUAUCUUCUUUCUCCUGUCUACAGAGCAGCAGAAUUCAUGGAGAAUUGAUGUUUGAACCAACCGGCGUUAUUUCAGCCACAUUCUAUCGACUACAUGACUAAGUCAGAUGUUCUCCAGAGGCUUGGCAGGUGGUUCAGCUUCCUCUCUCCUCCACCCCCUGUCCUGCGAAGCUAGGGCUCCAUCAUGCUGGAGAAAUAAAGACAGUGACUUUAAACUUCAUGCCUUUUUGUCACAGAAACAAACCGGAGUCGGUGGAAAUGUCACCUUGCAGACAAACCCACGAGCAAGGCAGUGCUUUGAAGAGGUUUCAGAAAGUUCUCACCUGCUGUGAGGCGGGGACAAGGCAGCGAGUGGAGAGCACAUCAAAACCUGUGAAUGUCUGCUGUGCCAGGCAGCCAGGAGUCUCAGUCUCACUGGGUAAGUUUUGAUCAUCCAAAGGCAAGUACUCUGCCAUUUUGCUAGCUCAGGAAAAGAGACUGAGGAGAAAGAGGUGUCCUCAAUGAAAAGCUAAAGAUUGAGGAUGUGCUCUGGAGGGGCCACCAAAAGUGGGAAACGGGGUAACUUUGUCAGACUUCCUCCUUAGAGGACAAGUCAGACCGGACCUGAAGUUGACACCCUGCAAACAAC